rnacentral:rRNA from 1 species
AUCUGCUGCCGUACCGCCCUGAACGUGCUAGGUGGGAGCGAGCCUGGUCAGUACUUAGAUGGGAGACCGUCUGGGAAUACGAGGCGCUGUAGCCU